GACAGAGGUGCCGAGCGUUAGGCGGAAUCACUGGGCUUAAAGCGCGUGUAGGCGGAUGAGCACGUCUGUCGCUGAAAUCCCCCGGCUCAACCGGGGAACUGGCGGAGAUACGGCUCGUCUGGAGGGGCGUAGGGGGACCUGGAACUUCCGGUGGAGCGGUGAAAUGCGUUGAGAUCGGAAGGAACGCCCGUGGCGAAAGCGGCUUCCUGGUCCAGCAUCGACGUUCAGGCACGAAAGCGUGGGGAGCAAACAGG
rnacentral:rRNA from 1 species